AUGAGGACAGAGCCAGUGCAUUGGGCUAGGGCCUUUUUUCCAUAUGGAUCAAACUGUGAGUCAGUGGAUAACAACCUAUGUGAGUCUUUCAACAAUGCCAUCAUAGAAUCUAGGUUUUACCCCAUAAUAUCACAGCAAGAGAUGAUAAGGAAGAAGAUGUAUGUCAGAAUCCAGGAACAGAGAAGCAAAUGUGAUAAAUGGCAUGGAACAGUUUGCCCUAACAUUUUUAAGAAACUACAGGGCAAUAUCAAGAGAACUCAGUUCUGUGAGGUGCUUUGGAAUGGCAAGGAUGGAUUUGAGGUCAAGCAUUUGACUGGCAGAGGAAGGAGAUAUACAGUGAACCUUGAGAGGAAGACAUGCUCAUGUGGAUAUCUACAGCUGGCAGGCCUUCCUUGUUGUCAUGCAAUUUGUGCUAUAUACAAAAGUGGCAGAACAGUAGAAGAAUUCAUUGACCCAUGCAGACAUUGA
rnacentral:rRNA from 1 species